CCUACGGGUGGCAGCAGUGAGGAAUAUUGGUCAAUGGGCGCGAGCCUGAACCAGCCAAGUAGCGUGAAGGAUGACUGCCCUACGGGUUGUAAACUUCUUUUAUAAAGGAGUAAAGUUAAGCUCACGUGCCUUUGUGUAUGUACUUUAUGAAAAAGGAGCGUCUAAAUCCGUGACAGCAGCCGCGGUAAUACGGAGGAUACGAGCGUUAUCCGGAUUUAUUGGGUUUAAAGGGAGAGUAGAUGGGUGGUUAAGUCAGAUGUGAAAGUUUGCGGCUCAACCGUAAAAUUGCAAUUGAUACUGGCAGUCUUGAGUACAGGUGAGGUAGGCGGAAUUCGUGGUGUAGCGGUGAAAUGCGUAGAUAUCACGAAGAACUCCGAUUGCGAAGGCAGCUUACUAAACUGCCACUGACAUUGAUGCUCGAAAGUGUGGGUAUCAAACAGGAUUAGAUACCCGAGUAGUC
rnacentral:rRNA from 1 species